ensembl:lncRNA RERG-AS1 RERG antisense RNA 1
AAUAAAUGCUGCGUUCCAUGUGCUAAGUACUGAAGUUAUUACCAUGACAACAAGACCACCUUCUUGCCUACAGUUCGGAGAUUAAUAAAGGGCUCCUGAGAUAACCACAAGGCACAUGAAAUAACCCAGGAACUAUAAAUUGCAAAAGCCCCCGAGUCUCCCUGGCAAUCAAUAAAGCACAGAAGCUUUGUUCAGAUUGCCAACCACCCGGUUCAGUUCUGGACAACCUCAUACUGCCAUCCACGUAAGUGUCUAUGCUGCAUUGUAACUUUUGGAAAAACAUGCACACACCUGGUGCCACCUGGGUAGGUGUGACCAGAACCUGCCUGUUGGAAAA